rnacentral:lncRNA from 1 species
ACAAAUUCCUGAUGAUAGUGUUGUCUGUAACACCUGGAUUAGAUCAAUGCAUUUCCUGUUCCACACAGAGGGCAUAAAAGGAGCAAACUGAGCUCAGAAGAGGGACUGAAGUUCAGAAUGGAGAUUCUCUGUAUUGGUACUGUAUCGAUGUCUAGGCAAAAUUUGUAUGCUUUCUUAUUGACUUGCUUCUUCAAUAGAAGACAGGUUAUUAUUUUAACUCCAGCAAGUAAGAAUGUCUCCAUAUGCCUAUUGGACAACAACAAGAAGGAAAUAUGGUCCCCAUGCUGCAGCUUCUUAUCGGGAAUUGUGGUUUUUUGUAUCCUGCCUAGCACUGGCUGAGGGAGCAGAAGAACUGAGUUGCACCACACAUCCAAAGAGCAUAAGAUUAAUAGGAGAGAGAAAGAAGACUAUAUUAAUGUAUAUCCAUAUUCCUGCUUCGAUGCACCUUGUUUGGAUGAAAUUCCUUUUGCCUAUGGAUGUCUCAAAACUGAAUCAAAG